AAGGUUGUGACUCACCUGGGAAAUACGCUAGGAGCCUCCGUUCAACACGUUAAACUGAAGCAAAUGAAGUAUUCUUUUCAGUUAUGGGUCACAAUGAUGUCAGCAAGAGCAUAUGAUGGGAAGGAACCUCUGAAAUUUGUGGAUCUGCUUAGUGACCGUGGGAAGCCUAUCAACCCUCUGUGGGAAUUGGUCAAAUGGUGCCUGGGCCUAUCAGUGCACACCAUCCCUGCCAUUGGACUGGCCUUAUUGGAAGAAA